CCCCUAGAUGUUCUGGGCCGCACGCGCGCUACACUGAACAGUUCAACAAGUCUUAACCUUGGCCGAUAGGUCUGGGUAAUCUUUGAACGCUGUUCGUGAUUGGGAUAGACCUUUGCAAUUAUGGGUCUUCAACGAGGAAUUCCUAGUAAACGCAAGUCAUCAGCUUGCAUUGAUUACGUCCCUGCCCUUUGUACACACCGCCGUCGCACCUACCGAUUGAAUGGUCCGGUGAAAUCUCGGGACGGCGGCUUGGUCGCUUGCGUCCGACUGCUGAAACUUGAUUAAACCAUAUCAUUUAGAGGAAGGUGAAGUCGUANCA
rnacentral:rRNA from 1 species